rnacentral:rRNA from 1 species
UACGUAGGGGGCAAGCGUUGUCCGGAUUUAUUGGGCGUAAAGAGCUCGUAGGCGGUGUGUCGCGUCGGGCGUGAAAACCUGCAGCUUAACUGUGGGCUUGCGGUCGAUACGGGCAUCACUGGAGUUCGGCAGGGGAGACUGGAAUUCCUGGUGUAGCGGUGAAAUGCGCAGAUAUCAGGAGGAACACCGGUGGCGAAGGCGGGUCUCUGGGCCGAUACUGACGCUGAUGCGCGAAAGCGUGGGGAGCGAACAGG